rnacentral:rRNA from 1 species
CCUACGGGUGGCAGCAGUGAGGAAUAUUGGUCAAUGGACGAGAGUCUGAACCAGCCAAGCAGCGUGAAGGAGGACUGCCCUAUGGGUUGUAAACUUCUUUUAUAUGGGAAUAAAAUGUUCCACGUGUGGGAUUUUGUAUGUACCAUAUGAAUAAGGAUCGGCUAACUCCGUGCCAGCAGCCGCGGUAAUACGGAGGAUCCGAGCGUUAUCCGGAUUUAUUGGGUUUAAAGGGUGCGUAGGUGGAUUGUUAAGUCAGUUGUGAAAGUUUGCGGCUCAACCGUAAAAUUGCAGUUGAAACUGGCAGUCUAGAGUACGGUAGAAGUAGGCGGAAUGCGUGGUGUAGCGGUGAAAUGCUUAGAUAUCACGAAGAACUCCGAUUGCGAAGGCAGCUCACUGGACUGCAACUGACACUGAGGCUCGAAAGUGUGGGUAUCGAACAGGAUUAGAUACCCUUGUAGUC